rnacentral:snoRNA from 1 species
CCGUCCUGGCCCAUGUGUCCCUGCUCCCCUGUGCUCAGUUGUGGCAGGGGGGCCUGAGGCAGGAUGUACAGUAUCUCCCUCUCAGUUUAGGAGGGCUGUCCUAAGCACAGGGCUGGCUCUUAAAGGCACGCAAGGACAUU